UAAUCGAUUAGCUGGAAGUCGACUUUGGGAUCCCUAAUUUUGGAUGUACUGACUUUUUCAUUUCACUUGGAUUGUAAAUUUUACUUAAAGGUGUCUUUGGAAUUUAAUUUCGUGUCGUUGUGAUUUUCGUCGCAGUAAAUUACUACAAAGGACUUCAAGACAUCUAUUUAUUAAUUAUACAUAUACACUUGAUAUUGUCGUAAAUUCCUUAGCAUAUUAUUACAGAAAAUCCUCUUAUAAAUCCAUUUUGAAAUACAUAAUCUAUUUAUUUUUUAAUUCCACGAAAUAUCCGAGAUAACAAUCCCGAGAAUUGUCACGUAAAUACAUAUAAACAUACAUACGUACGUAGUAGAUCCGAUCAUCAAUUUUGUUUCGUUCGUAUUAAGAGUCAGUCGAGUCGCCGGAGAAAGUGUCAAAGAUUUGAACGCGAUUUCUUGUCAACUGAAUUUGUUGCUCUUGUACUAUCUAGAAAAUUUCUUGUGUAAUUGAAAACUAAAUAAGAAAAAAAGAGCUUUUCUCUAA